rnacentral:tRNA from 3 species
GCCGAAAUGAGGUAGUCUGGUAGCCUAUAGCCCUGUGGAGGCUAGCGCCCGGGUUCAAAUCCCGGUUUCGGCC